rnacentral:lncRNA from 1 species
UCAUCUCGCCAUAAAUUCCCUCAAAAGAAGAAAAAAAACCUUGGAUAAAUCCUGCAGUUAAGACACCACUCCGGCCUAAAGAAACAAUAAAACUGCCCUGAAGGGGAAGAAAAAGACGAUACUACAAUCGGAAGACCCAAAAAGCAGACGGACCAAUGGGAGUCCCAGUGACACAGGUUCCUGAAAGAGGCAACAGGUGGUUUCUGGACUACGUUGGAUCAAAUGGCUGCAUUGGUUUCAGC